rnacentral:rRNA from 1 species
AGAUGGCGACCGGCGCACGGGUGAGUAACACGUAUCCAACCUGCCGAUAACUCGGGGGAUAGCCUUUCGAAAGAAAGAUUAAUACCCGAUGGCAUAGUUCUUCCGCAUGGUGGAACUAUUAAAGAAUUUCGGUCAUCGAUGGGGAUGCGUUCCAUUAGGUUGUUGGCGGGGUAACGGCCCACCAAGCCUUCGAUGGAUAGGGGUUCUGAGAGGAAGGUCCCCCACAUUGGAACUGAGACACGGUCCAAACUCCUACGGGAGGCAGCAUG